GCCUGAAAUUGUGUGUUGCUUGGUUUAAAUUAGUGAACAAUUGUUUAUUUAUUUUGGUUUUAAAAUUAAGUGUUUAAAGAAUUAGUUUGUUUUAUUGUAAAAGUAAGUUUUAUAGAAAUUAUAUUUUAAACUAUAGUGUAUGAGGUACUGUGAAGGAAAUUUAGUGUAGUUGUUAAAAAGAAGAUUUUAAAUUUCGUACCUUUAGUAUCAGGGGUUAUUUAUUUGUUUUGAAAAGUUUCUAGGUUCCCGAAAUAAAGUGAUCUAAUUUGUUAAAAGUAUUUAUGUAGAAAAAUAAAACUUAAUAAUUUAUUAGUGGUGAUAUGUUAGUCGAACUUUAUAUAUCUGGUUGCUUCUGAAUUAAUUUUAAUUUAGUUUUUGCAGAGUUUUGUUGUGAAAUCAAAUACUUAGGGGGAAGAGCUUCUAGGUUAGAAGUUAAGUAAAAUAUAUGUUUGCUUGAAAAAUGAGUUUAGGCUUAGAAUCAGCCAUAAUAUCAGGUCGUUAUAGUAGAUAUUUGUGAAGUUGGUGUUUUAAGGGUGGUUUACUUUUAGGUAAGGAGUUAAUUGUAUAAAUUUUUACUAUUGUGAAAUAGUGAUUAUAUUAGUAUAGUUUAUUGUGAAGAUUGUGGUGUCUAGGAAUUAUUUUGGUUUUUAAGUAAUUUAAGGUGUGCCUAAGUAACUCGACAAAGGUUGCACCCACCUGUUUAACAAAAACAUGUCUAUGAGAAUAAAAUUUUUAGUCUGGCCUGCCCGCUGAAGGUUUUUAAAGGGCCGCGGUAUUUGGACCGUGCUAAGGUAGCAUAAUCAAUAGUCUUUUAAUUGGAGUCUAGUAUGAAUGGUUGGAUGAGGUGUAAUUUGUCUUCAGGUGUAUUACUUGAAUUUUACUUUUAAGUGAAAAGGCUUAAAUUUUGUGAGGGGACGAUAAGACCCUAUGAAGCUUUAUAUUAUGAGUUUUUAUAUCUAAUAGUGUUGUGUUUAGGUUAAUAAUUUGGUAAUAUUGUGUUGGGGCGACAGAAAUAUAAUAUUAACUGUUUUUAUAAGUAAAAUAAUAAUUUUUAGUUUGUUGAUCCUGUGUUUGUGGAUUAAAAGAUUUAAUGUUACUCUAGGGAUAACAGCGUAAUUUUUCUUGAGAGUUCUUAUCGACAGAAAUAUUUGCGACCUCGAUGUUGAAUUAAGAUUUCCCCAUGGUGUAGAAGUUAUGGAGGUAGGUCUGUUCGACCUUUAAAAUUUUACAUGAUUUGAGUUCAGACCGGCGUGAGCCAGGUUAGUUUCUAUCUUUUACUUUUUGAGUGACUGUUCUAGUACGAAAGGAGUGGGCGGUUGAAAUAUUUUCUUAUAUUUGAUUUACUUUAAAUUAUCU
rnacentral:rRNA from 1 species